UCUUCUUUCCUUUCUUUCUUUUUUCUUCUUCUUUCCUUUCUUUCUUUCCUUUUUCUUCUUCUUUCCUAUAGUCAGUCUGGCAUUAAAGGAUUCGAUUACAGAAAAAAGGGGUUGUAUUAUUAAGGGCUAACCAGAUGUUGUUCCUUCUCUUUUUUUUUUGCAUGAGUUUGUUGAUGUAAGUGUUACUAAGAGGCUAAAUCGUCUAUUAGUUGAUCUGAAGGCUUUUAUGGUUAUUGAUUUCACCAGAAUAGAAAAAAAGGACAAUAAAGACAACUUCCGCCCACUUGGCUGUAGGGUCAACUUAUAUACUUGAGAAAUUAACAAGAAAUAAAAAAACAUAUUUCAAAAGGAAUUCAAACCUGAAUUUCUUUUCUUCUUCUUAAUCAUUCUAGCACUACAGACAAGUUGUUAUACAUGCGAGUACAUCCAGUAGGAAGCUUACACAUAGACAACUUUCACCCGCACAACUGAACACAGCAUUACAAAGUUAACUAACAACAGAUUAAGUUAACAGAAGACAUAGAAGUUAAUUAAACAUAACAAUGAAUAGUGCUGUGAAUAGUGAAUUCUGCAUUUCUAGCCCGUUAACCUCAACAAACCCACAUCAAUCCCCCAAAACAAGCUUAGUACUUGGAAAAAAGAAAGAGCUAAGUGCUUGUUAAUUUCUUCUGCACGUGGAUGGGUACUUUAGAAGUAUUUUAAAGCUCCAUAAACCUUAAUUGGGUACUUUAAACAGCAACCCAGGAUUAAUUGAGUACUCUAAAAGUACAUUAAAGUAUCUUUAAACAUCCAUAAAUCUUAAAAUAAUCCUCAAAAAUGAAAAGAUUGAAAAAAAAGGCAAAAAAUGUUCUAGGGCACUGAACCGGUAUGCAUUUACAUAUUGAUUGUUGGUAUUAGUACAGUUUGGUAUCGAACCAUCCUGGUCAGGUACCAGUAUGGUACUCGGUAUCUGAACUGCAGACCUUGCCAGGAACAGUUUAUCUGGGCUUCCAAACAAGGCUUAAAAAAACUCUUUUUUUUCAUUUGAAUUGAUAAUUUGUGUACCAAUGUGCUAUAUAUACACCAAUGCAUUACAUGCAAGAAGACACAUAGGUUCCUGCUUCAAAAACCAAAGCAAACCAACUAUCAGAUUUAGCAGGUCUUUGAUUUAGUCAUGAAUCAUAACCUAAAUAUUUUUAUCAUGUGCAGGCCAUUUGCUAAACUAUAUUGUACUUGUCACAGCAUAACUCUCUCUCAAUUAGUUUUUAAUUGUCUUUCUGAUUUAUGCAGAGUUCUUUAGGUAUUAGAUUGGGGCGUCACAUCAUCAAAGAAAUCUCAAAAGGGCGGGUGCGCUUAAUCAUAUACUAAGCAGAUCACAUGUGAUAUAGAAUUGGUUCCAGCAUGGUUACAACUUUUAUAUUGUGUUAUCUUCUCAUGAUCUUUCUUGUUUGAUGUCCCCUUUGUGACCACCAUCUUUUUAUAGGUUUCAUUUGUUGAUCCCAUGAAAAAGCGCAUUGCUACAUCUUGUCAGGGUGUUCCUUUAGGUGGCAUUGGGUAGGUUUUCAUCUUAUGCGCAUAACAUAUAUUUUUGUAGAAGUCAACAUACAAAUUAAAUUUUAUGGAGUUUGAUGUUUGGUAUUAAUUAAGGC
rnacentral:lncRNA from 1 species